rnacentral:rRNA from 1 species
GACGAACGCUGGCGGCGUGCUUAACACAUGCAAGUCGAGCGGUAAGGCCCUUUCGGGGGUACACGAGCGGCGAACGGGUGAGUAACACGUGGGUGACCUGCCCUCCAGCUCUGGGAUAAGCCCGGGAAACUGGGUCUAAUACUGGAUAUGACUCCAUGACGCAUGUUGUGGGGUGGAAAGCCUUGUGCGGCUGGGGAGUGGGCCCGCGGCCUAUCAGCUUGUUGGUGGGGUGGAUGGCCUACCAAGGCGACGACGGGUAGCCGGCCUGAGAGGGCGACCGGCCACACUGGGACUGAGACACGGCCCAGACUCCUACGGGAGGCAGCAGUGGGGAAUCUUCCGCAAUGGACGAAAGUCUGACGGAGCAACGCCGCGUGAGCGAAGAAGGCC